AGGAGGCAGCAGUGAGGAAUCUUCCGCAAUGGACGCAAGUCUGACGGAGCAACGCCGCGUGUACGACGAAGGCCUUCGGGUUGUAAAGUACUGUCUUCAGGGACGAACGGUAUCCAUGAGAAUAUUGUGGGUACAUGACGGUACCUGAGGAGGAAGCCCCGGCUAACUACGUGCCAGCAGCCGCGGUAAUACGUAGGGGGCAAGCGUUGUCCGGAAUCAUUGGGCGUAAAGGGCGCGUAGGCGGAUAUUUAAGUCUGGUGUGAAAACCUAGGGCUCAACCCUGGGACUGCAUCGGAAACUGGGUAUCUUGAGGACAGGAGAGGAAAGUGGAAUUCCACGUGUAGCGGUGAAAUGCGUAGAUAUGUGGAGGAACACCAGUGGCGAAGGCGACUUUCUGGACUGUAACUGACGCUGAGGCGCGAAAGCGUGGGGAGCAAACAGGCUUAGAUACCCCGGUAGA
rnacentral:rRNA from 1 species